rnacentral:tRNA from 1 species
GUCUCCUUAGCUCAGUUGGUAGAGCAACUGACUCUUAAUCAGUGUGUCUAGGGUUCGAAUCCCUAAGGGGACACCA